rnacentral:rRNA from 1 species
GUCGAGCGGUAACAGGUGUAGCAAUACAUGCUGACGAGCGGCGAACGGGUGAGUAAUGCUUUGGAAUCUUCCCAGUAGUGGGGAAUAACCAGUCGAAAGAUUGGCUAAUACCGCAUACGUCUGUAAAGGGAAAGCGGGGGCUCGUAAGACCUCGCGCUAUUGGAUGAGCCAAAGUCGGAUUAGCUAGUUGGUGGGGUAAUGGCCUACCAAGGCGACAAUCCGUAGCUGGUCUGAGAGGACGACCAGCCACACCGGAACUGAGACACGGUCCGGACUCCUACGGGAGGCAGCAGUGGGGAAUAUUGGACAAUGGGGGAAACCCUGAUCCAGCGACGCCGCGUGUGUGAAGAAGGCCUGCGGGUUGUAAAGCACUUUUAGUGGGGACAAAAAGCUACGGACUAAUACUCUGUGGUCUUGAUUUAACCCAAAGAAAAAGCACCGGCUAACUCUGUGCCAGCAGCCGCGGUAAUACAGAGGGUGCGAGCGUUAAUCGGAAUUACUGGGCGUAAAGCGCGCGUAGACGGUUUUGUAAGUCAGAUGUGAAAUCCCUGGGCUCAACCUGGGAACUGCAUUUGAGACUGCAUGGCUAGAGUAUCGAAGAGGGAAGUGGAAUUUCCGGUGUAGCGGUGAAAUGCGUAGAUAUCGGAAGGAACACCAGUGGCGAAAGCGACUUCCUGGUCGAAUACUGACGUUCAUGUGCGAAAGCGUGGGGAGCAAACAGGAUUAGAUACCCUGGUAGUCCACGCCAUAAACGAUGAC